rnacentral:rRNA from 1 species
UACGAAGGGGGCUAGCGUUGCUCGGAAUUACUGGGCGUAAAGGGCUCGUAGGCGGCCAACUAAGUCGGAUGUGAAAUCCCCAGGCUCAACUUGGGAACUGCAUCCGAUACUAGAUGGCUUGAAUCCGGGAGAGGGAUGCAGAAUUCCAGGUGUAGCGGUGAAAUGCGUAGAUAUCUGGAGGAAUACCGGUGGCGAAGGCGGCAUCCUGGACCGGCAUUGACGCUGAUGAGCGAAAGCUAGGGGAGCAAACGGG